rnacentral:rRNA from 1 species
CAGUAGCCACGGUAAGACAGAGGAUGCAAGCAUUAUCCGGAAUGAUUGGGCGUAAAGGGUGCGUAGGCGGUUUGGCAAGUCUUAUGUGAAAUCUUCGGGCUCAACCCGAAGUCUGCAUGAGAAACUGCCGGGCUUGAGUAUGGGAGAGGUGAGUGGAAUUUCCGGUGUAGCGGUGAAAUGCGUAGAUAUCGGAAGGAACACCUGUGGCGAAAGCGGCUCACUGGACCAUAACUGACGCUGAGGCACGAAAGCUAAGGUAGCGAACAGGAUUAGAUACCCCCGUAGUCCCUGUCUCUUAUAC